GACGAACGCUGGCGGCGUGCCUAAUACAUGCAAGUCGAACGCUUCUUUCCUCCCGAGUGCUUGCACUCCAUUGGAAAGAGGAGUGGCGGACGGGUGAGUAACACGUGGGUAACCUACCCAUCAGAGGGGGAUAACACUUGGAAACAGGUGCUAAUACCGCAUAACAGUUUAUGCCGCAUGGCAUAAGAGUGGACGGCGCUUUCGGGCGUCGCUGAUGGAUGGACCCGCGGUGCAUUAGCUAGUUGGUGAGGUAACGGCUCACCAAGGCCACGAUGCAUAGCCGACCUGAGAGGUUGUUCGGCCACACUGGGACUGAGACACGGCCCAGACUCCUACGGGAGGCAGCAGUAGGGAAUCUUCGGCAAAGGACGAAAGUCUGACCGAGCAACGCCGCGUGAGUGAAGAAGGUGUUCGGAUCGUAAAACUCUGUUGUUAGAGAAGAACAAGGACGUUAGUAACUGAACGUCCCCUGACGGUAUCUAACCAGAAAGCCACGGCUAACUACGUG
rnacentral:rRNA from 1 species